rnacentral:lncRNA from 1 species
GUGUCCGACAGCUCUCGCUCUCUGGGCACGCCUGGGGUACUGCGCAGGUUGCUGCAUGCGCUCCUGCCGUGAUGAUACAAAGCUCUGAGCGGCGCGGGUUCCUGGUGCUCGCUCUUUUCUCCCAUGCAGAACGCCGAUGUGAUAUCUUUCAUCCGUCCUGUAACCCCAAACUGCUGUAAACUGAACUGAUAUAGCCCUGUUUCGGACCUGAGAUCCUAAUGGAAGUUUCAGGUGGGGGAGUCUCCCCCGUGUCGACCUUUCACAAAAAAAAGUACGAUACUUAAAGUUUUGAAUUACAAUAUUUGCAAAACAUUUCAUCAAGAAAAAUUUAAGUGCAUAUGAAGGGAAAAAAAGGUCUUGACAUGAUAGCCAAACAAUUUAAGUGCAUACGCAGGGAUCUCCCCUGUGCACGCCCCCGGAUUUUCAAACGACGCCGACGAAGUCCAAAUAGCAGACCGCGCGCGUUCUGCAAAUGACCCACGUUCUGCAAAUACGCGCGCGUUUUGACCCAAAUGACCGCGCGCCGGCACCAUUAGCGAAUACAAAAAUUGAACGAAGCCGGAGAACCGACGACCCUUGCCUCGGCCUAUAAAUAGAUGGAGUUUGGAGAGGAAAGCAAUCGCUCCCAGGCUGCUACGCUAAACACGAAACGCCGCCGCCAGGCUGCUGCGAUCCCUCGACGGAGAGCGGCACCGGCAAACACCACCCCAGCAAGCACCGGUGAGGAAGGAGAUCCGGCAAGGUGAGGAGCCUGAUGGCCGGCGUUCCUCUGACCAUCUUCCCCUCGUCCUCCCUCUUUCUUGCUUCCCCAUGAUGCAAAUCAGAAAAAGGCUCAAGGCCCUGCCCGUCGGUUUGGUCUUUUGAUACAAACCACAACGGGAUGCAAGAAGGCCCCAAUCCUCGGCUCGGUCCGUUGAUAGAUACGACGUCAGGAUGGGAUGAGCUCUUGUUCUUCGAUUCGGUCUGUUGAUACCAACUCAUGGACAAGUGCUAAUGACUGCAUGUUGAAAGCGGUUGAACCAGGCUCUGUCUGCACUCCGAUCCGUAUACGGGGUUGGCUGAUCAUGAAUCCCUGCAACGAGUGGCAGCGGCAACAACACAUAUAAAGUUACCUGCAUGCUGAUUAUAAGUGGUUGCCUUAUGUAUACUACACGUGUAGGCUCUCCCUAUAUACUGGAGCAUACUGUCUUGUUAGUAGUAAAGCAGGUCGAUCAACCACCUCCAAAGAAACGAUCAUCUCUGUAUAAACUAUUAGAUGGCGUCAAAAGAAACAGUCAUGCGCUGCAUCGUCCGCAUGCAUGCAAGUUCAGUUUAGUAGUCUCCUAUCCAUGCGCCCCAUUGCCUAGCAGGAGCAUCAACUAGCAUCAUCUCAAUUUAUAAAAUUGGCUACAUUAAUUGAUUCUGUGGCCGCAUACUCAACUGCUCUAUGUCAAAAUAAUUAGCAUGCAUCGAAAUCUGCAGCUGCUUCAAAUCCUAUGCGUAGCCAAAUGCUUAGAUACUAAUGUAAACGUAGUCGAACUAAGAAAACUCUGCCACAUGCAUGAACGUCGUCUCUGCGUCUUGUCCUGAUCAGCCAGGAUGAGAUAAACAAAGCUUACAAUAGCGACGCAAUACUCGUAGUAGCUGUGAGUUAAGUAAUGACAAAUCAUGCCUAAUCUAAAGGAACAGGCAGUCACGAUGUUUCCCUGAGAAAUACUAUAACCUGUCUCAUGCAAAUGACAGAGAAAAGGGAAACGUUAUAUAUCCGACAUCUGCAUCUCGGGUUCGAUAAGCGUACAAACAAACUAGCAGUAACCCAUGUGUACACAGAAUGUACCUCUGCUAAACCAUGCAUGAAUUCCAAAUAAGUGCAUGAGCUUGAAUUUUGUUUAAUUUUAAUGGAUCCUAAGUUUGAGCUAUAAUUUUAACAUAGAAAUCUAUAUUCUCACCAGUUUCUCUAUGUAUUUAUAAAUGGUGACACACAUCAUGUGUAUAUACCUUAAGUAUUGUAUUAUAUACCAAUGGUGUAAGAAUAGAUAAUUUAAAAUCAUAUAUUGGUGUAUAUUGGGGUAUAUUUUUAAUGAAUGUGAUUUAGAUUCAUUUUUAGAGUUACCUCAUGUUAUUUUUAAUAAUGAUAUAAGUGGGUAAUAUAGAUGCAAAUUUAAGGGUUACUUUAAGUUAUUUUUUAAGUAUUGGUGGUGGGCAAUUUAGUUGAAAAUUUAGGAAGUUAUGUUAAUUUUUUUAUAAUGGCAUAAGUGGGUAAUUUAGAUGAAUAUUAGGGGUUACUUUAGUUUAUUUAUAUAAUGACAAAGGUGGUUAUUUACAGAGGUUACUUUAGGCUAUUUUCAUAAUGGCAGAGGUGGGUAAUUUUUUAGAAAAUAUAAUAGAUCCAAUGGUAACGAUGAUUUGAGUCUAUCGAUUGAUUGCCGGAUGUUUUGCUUUUUUUUAAGAAUUUUUAGGAUUUCUCUAUUUUUUUUAGAGUGUCCACCUAAGAUCCUAGGUGGCUUCACCUGAAGAAGCCUCCAAUUAGUAAUAGUAAGAUGCGAUCCCAUGUUUUUUUACUCCUUGCAUUGAGGAGGUUUUUCCACGCAAAUCACUUGUCUUUGUGCAUGCCACUUUGAGUUUUUAUUGAUUUUCCCAAUUCCCAUGCUUCGAAUUCUUCUAUAAUGAUGUGUACUAAUGGAAAUUAAAGUCACAAUUUUCUAUUGCGCCAUGACAUUUCCUAAUAGAUAGCAGGUGAAUGGUCCAUAUCUAGACAUGCAUGGAGUCGCCUCAGGUAUUGAGGUAUCAUUAAACCAGCAUGCUCAAUAUGUUCUCACACAAAGUUGCAUUGUUUCUGUUUUCCGAUGAUGGGUACUCCAUAUUAUUGUUUAAUGUUCUUUCCGGGGAAAAAAAACUAGGGACACGAACCAUUCUAUAUUUCUGGACUUUGAGAUCUAGUGCUCUUGGGUUGCCUAUAUGGUUGUUGAAACUUGAAAACCAUAUUGACAGUAGUAGCUCUGAAGGUGUAGAAUUCUAAAUUAAACCUUCAUGCACUGCCCGAACUCUGAAAUAAAGUUGCAUACUACUCCACUUGAAUCCACCCAAUGCAUGAUUAAGCGUUGCGUGCAUAUAGGCAAAAUGGUCUGUUCUAUGUCUGAUUAAUUAGCAAAUGCAUCUGGUGUGUGCAGUGGAUAGUAGUUGUUACGUUGCAUCCCAGUUCCUAACAGCCUCCAUCAGACUUACAGUUAUUACGCCAGGUCAGCCGUAUAUUUUUUUUUUUUUUGUCGUUGCUCCGCACCAAGAACGUGGAACGCAGCUUCGAAUCCCCAUUCCAAUUCCAUCCUCAUCGCGGCAGCGGGAGGGGAACUGGGGCAAGAGUCCAGCAGCAAAAUAAAAUACGCGAGGACGUUCUGCUUGGCAAAGAGAUUUCUUUCCGGAUCUCUAGCCGGACGUUGAGCAGGGUCUCCUAAUUGAAAGCUUUUUUUUGGGGGGCAACUCCUAAUUGAAGGAUUGGGCACUUGUUCCCAGCUCGCUUCUUGAGGUUGAGAUCAGUGCGUUGCGUGAGUACACGUGGAAUUAUUGGCUGGCUGCGAAACAAACCAAGUGGUAAGGAAAAGAUCUUUGGACCAAGCAUCUGUCAUUUGUGGUCGGUCAUCAACACGCGAGAAAUUAAAAUUCCCAUCUGCUUUUGGGAUAUUUUGAUGAUCAGGCGGACCAUCCGGUGACCGAGACAAUAUCUGUCAUACGUUGGGCCCAGCCCGUGCCCACGCAAAAAAAAAAAGAAGAUCAUGCUCACUGUUGUUAAGCAACAAAGCGACAACAGAACGUAGGAUCAAGUGCAGCCUAUAUGGUCACCAAGGGCAAGCAUCACGCCAUCCCCGAAGUAUCUCAAUGUACUUUUACUUGACACAUGCCUAUAAUUACAUACUGUAACGUCGAGUUCCUGACCCAUAAGCUUUAUGGACAAGCCGGAGUCAGGGGGGACAAGACACCUCAUUUUUUAUGUCGCGACAUGUCGCCGCGAUGGCUUGACAGCGGCCCGUCACCGGCUUGUGGCUGCCGGUAAUGGAGCGGCUAGCUGGCCAGCCGGGCCAGCGAGACCUGAAGGUGAUGCCUCACCAUCACCGCGCUGGCAUGACAGCGACCCGGCACUAAUAAUGGAGCAGCUGGCUGUAGUGGCUUCACUUGGAAGCUGGUUCCGUUCAUCAGCUCAGUCCUUCCACGCUGCCAUCUCCAUUGUUCUCACUUCUCAGCACUGUAGCACACUGUAGCGUUUCGUUUGUAUUUGUGAAUUAUUGUCCAAAUAUUGACUAAUUAGGCUCAAAAGAUUCGUCUCGCAAAGUACAACAAAACUGUACAAUUAGUUUUUAAUUUCAUCUACAUUUAGUACUCCAUGCAUGUACCGCAAGUUUGAUGUGAUGGGGAAUCUUCUUUUUGCAUAGUGUCAAAGUUGGGAGUUGGGAGUAACUAAACAUGGCCCAAGCAUCUGUCAUUUGUGGUCGGUCAUCAGCACGCGAGAAUAAAAUUCCCAUCUGCUUUUGGGAUAUCCCAAAAGUGAUCGAGACAGUAUCUGUCAUACGUUGGGCCCAGCCCGUGCCCACGCAAAAAAAGAGAUCAUGCUCAGUGUUGUGAAGCAACAAAGCGACAACAGAAGGCAGGAUCAAGUGCAGCCUAGGCCUUGUUUAGUUCCUAGGAGUGCCAAAGUUGGGAGUUUGCCAUAAAUGCGCAACUGUAGCAUUUCGUUUGUAUUUGUGAAUUAUUGUCCAAACAUUAACUAAUUAGGCUCAAAAGAUUCGUCUCGCAAAGUACAACAAAACCGUGCAAUUAGUUUUUAAUUUCGUCUACAUUUAGUACUCCAUGCAUGUACCGCAAGUUUGAUGUGAUAGGGAAUCUUCUUUUUGCAUAGUGUCAAAGUUGGGAUUUUGGGGGAAACUAAACAUGGCCCUACACGUAUGGUCACCAAGGGCAAGCAUCACGCCAUCCCCGAAGUAUGUCAGGGGAGGUUUGAAUACACCGCUAAAGUUUAGCAUCAGCUAGAUGUUUGGAUUCUAAUUACGAGUAUUAAAUAUAGACUAAUUACAAAACUAGUUGCAUAGAUGGAGUCUAAUUCGCUUAGCAUCAGCCAGAUGUUUGGAUUCUAAUUACGAGUAUUAAAUAUAGACUAAUUACAAAACUAGUUGCAUAGAUGGAGUCUAAUUCGCGAGACGAAUCUAUUAAACUUAAUUAAUCCAUAAUUUGAUAACGUAGUGCUACAUUAACUAUUUGAUGGAUUAAUUAGACUUAAUAGAUUCGUAUCUCCUCCUAAUUAGUAUUCGAACGACACUCCUGCUUUUACUUGACAUGCCUAUAAUUACAUACUGUAACGUCAAGUUCCUGACACAUAAGCUUUCUGGACAAGCUGCAGUCAGGGGAGACAAGACACCUCAUUUUUUAUUUCACGACAAUGGUCUCUGAUCGGCUUUACCUGCAAUUUGCAGCAGUAUACACAUGUGGGAGGUAAAGGUGAGCUUUAUUGGUAAUGGCUAAAGUUCAUGAAAGAUUCGCUGGAGCGCAUCAAGCGGGGGAAAAGUUCUUUUGAAAGUGGCUGCUGGUGGACGCGGCUGGCUAUGGUGGCUUCACUUGGAAGCUGGUUCCGUUCAUCAGCUCAGUCCUUCCACGCUGCCAUCUCCAUUGUUCUCACUUCUCAGCACUGCACCCUUGGGAACGUAUGCGGUAUGCUCAACACACUGCCGCUCUCAUCUUGUGAGUUUGCAUCCUCCUCGUUCGUCAGCUAGUUUGGCCUCUCGUAGGUGCUGAUUGUUGCCUGAUUCCAAACGAUCUUUCAUUACCAGAUUCCAGCCUCCUCUGUUCCGAAAAGCGACGCCCAUGAGAAUUGAGAUGGCAUGGCACUACUAACCAGGAGGGAUUUGGCAUCGACGACUCCUUGUCCGACAACGUCUUCUCCGCCCGGCGCGACCCGGUCCUCUGCUGUACGUCCUGUUUUCGGAUCUGGGCGUGUCUUCCCCAACACCUCUGCUCUGCGCGUUCCUCUGCCGGAUCUUACUCUUUUGAGGAAGUCUCUACAGAUUUGAGCACACGCUCUGGCUGAGUGCCAGCCCUGGUGUGCAUCCGUUUUGUGGUAGGUACACGUACAGCUCUGACCUCGAAUGAAUCCUUGUCACGUGUUACUGAUUUGAUCUCUGCGAUUGCAAAUGCCUUUCUCUCUGCCUUCAGAUCCAGAAGGAACCUGAACCACUGCGUGACUCGUGAAGAUGGAGUUCGGGUUCAGCGCGGCGCAGUGGGUGGUGGGCAAGGCGCUCGCCCCCGUCGCAGACGGCUUCCUGGAGGCGUGGGCGGCCAGCAAGAAUCUCGGCUCCGAGGUCGAUGGCCUCAUGACGGUGCUGCAGUACGCGCAGGCCAUGCUCAACAACACCCGUGGCAGGGACAUCGACAACCCGGCCCUCAACGACCUGCUGCUCAAGCUGCGUCUGCUGGCCUACGACGCUGACGACGUGCUCGACGAGCUCGACUACUUCCGCAUCCAGGACGAGCUCGACGGCACCUACCAUGCCGCUAACCAGCACGCCGGGGGAUGCGCCCGUGACCUCCUCCUCAAUGCUCGUCACACUGGAAGAUACGUUGCCAAUAAAUUCAAGCUCUCCUCAGGCUCGCCUGAUGCUACUCGUGGACGACGAUUUCUAUGUGGUGCCUGGCCGUCCAAGGUACCGCAGAGAAGACAAACUGCCCAGAUACCAAAAUUGAAGUUUGAUAGGGUGGAUAUAUCUACAAGGAUGACAGAGAUCGUAAAGAAGCUCAAGCCCAUCUGUGCUAUGGUCUCAACCGUUCUUAAUCUAGAGUUGAUAGGCUCCAAAGCUAUCACUACUGCCACCAUGGAACGGCCCACAACCAGUGAGGAAAUUACAGAGCCUACAUUGUAUGGGAGGGAGACAGAGCUACAGAGUGUUGUAGAUUCCAUUACCCAUGGUGAAUGUUUUGCCAAUGAACUUACUGUGCUUCCAAUUGUUGGCCCGGGAGGUAUUGGGAAGACAACUUUCACACAACAUGUAUACCAAGAAGCGAGGAGCCAUUUCCAAGUUACAAUUUGGAUAUGCGUCUCUCUGGAUUUCAAUGCAGAUAGAUUGGCACAAGAAGCUGUGAAAAAGAUUCCCGAAGCUAAAGAUGAAAAGAAAAGUGGUAGUGACCACGAACUAAUUGAGCAAAGAUUAAAAGGUAAACGGUUUUUGCUUGUCCUGGAUGAUAUAUGGAAAUGUCAUGAGUAUGAGUGGGAAAAACUACUAGAACCAUUUGGAAAAGGUGGAGGAAAAGGUAAUAUGGUUAUAGUCACAACUCGAAUGUCAGAUGUGGCCAAAAUGGUUAAGACAGGUGAUUCUCAAAUACAGUUGCAUCGUUUAGGAGCUCAAGAUUUUAAGGAUUUCUUUGACGCAUGUGUAUCUACCAGAAUUUAUUCGUUCUGGUCAGAGCAUCCUGAGUUAAUUGAAACUGGGAAAGAAAUAAUGGCCAAACUGAAACGUAAUCCUCUUGCAGCAAAAACUGUAGGGAGAUUACUAGGAAAACAGCUCACUUUGGAGCAUUGGAGAAGGGUUCUAGAGAGCAAAGAAUGGGAACUCCAAACCAGUGACAAUGACAUUAUGCCAGCGUUGAAGAUUAGCUAUGAUUAUCUUCCAUUUAACCUAAAGCAAUGCUUUUCCUAUUGUGCUUUGUUUCCUGAAGAUUACGAAUUUGACAGCAAAGAGUUAGUUCACUUUUGGAUAGGACUAGAUGUUUUACAUCUGGGUGAUCAGAGCAUAAGAAUAGAAGAUGUUGGCAAGAGUUAUUUGAUUGACUUGGUCAACUAUGGAUUUUUCAAAAGGAACGAAAAAGACAAUGGCUGUCAUUAUUAUGUUAUCCAUGACCUAUUACAUGAGCUGGCGGUCAAAGUUUCACGGUACGAUUGUCUUAGCAUACAAAUAUCUAAAGUGAGGUCUGUACAUAUCCCGGCAUCGGUACGCCACUUGUCUAUCAUUGUGGAUAACAAAGAUGUUGAGGAUAUAAUUACUUAUAAAGACUGUGAGAAGGAUCUUGGUGCACUUGAUAAAAGGCUACAAAUUGAAAACAUACGUACAUUGAUGUUGUUUGGUGAAAAUGUGGAGAGUUUUUCCAAAACAUUUGGUAAUUUGUUUAAGAAAGCUGGAGCCCUUCGCGCUAUUUUUUUUGUCUGGAGCAUCAUAUAUUGUGGAGGAUAUGUGGCAGAACUUUUCAAAGCUCGUCCAUCUUCGCUACCUAAAGAUUAAGGGGAGUUACCAUUUUCUGGAAACAGACCUACCAGGAACAAUUUCAAGACUAUAUCACUUGAAGAUCCUAGACAUUAAAGAUUCCACGGACUGCCCUUUUCCAUCAAGAUAUUUAAGCAACCUCGCAAGCAUGCAACAUUUUCUUGUCCCUGGUAAUAAUAGCCUUCACUCAGACAUCCUCAAUGUGGGAAACCUGAAACUUCUACGAGAACUAAGAAGAUUUGAAGCUAAGAAAGAAAAUAAAGGUUUUGAGUUAAAGCAACUAGCAGAACUACUAGUGCUUGAAGUACUGGGCAUUUACAAUCUUGAAAAGGUUAAAGUAAAGGAAGAAGCAGUUGCAAUGAAAUUAAUACAAAAACACCAUUUACAAGAGCUCGUACUAGAUUGGGAUAUUAAUCGCUCCGAUAAGGAUCCUAUUGGAGAAGAGAAUAUCCUUGAAUGUCUUAUGCCACAUAGCAAUCUCUACAAGCUAUCUAUUACUGGGCAUGGAGGUGACACUUGCCCUUCAUGGCUUGGUAUGAACCUCUCGGUAAAAACUUUGGAUUCUCUUCGGCUGAGUAGUGUAUCUUGGAAAACAUUUCCACCUCUAGGAGAGAUGUGGUUUGUCGGUGAACAUUGUAAAAGCUGUAUACGAGAACAAAGCUUCAAAAAAUUGAAGAGGCUAGAACUGGAAAAGGUACCGAAAUUGAUAAAAUGGGUUGGAAAUGGCCCUUCUGAUUUGUUCUCUCACUUGGAAGUGCUCGUCAUCAAAGACUGCCCAGAACUCAUGGAAUUGCCAUUUUCACAUUGUGCUGGAUAUGGACAACACGUUGAGGAUAACAUGACCUGGUUUCGAAAAUUAAAAAAGCUCGAAAUUACAGAUUGUCCAAAGCUAUCAUCAUUGCCUUGUGUUCCAUGGUCUAGCUCUACUUGCAGCGCUAAGAUUGUACAAGCUGGUUCGGGUAUUGAGCAACUGUCUUUCAGAGGACAUAUCUUGGAAAUUAAGGGAAAGGACACAUUGGAUAGUGCUUUUUGGAGAGUGUUAGCCUUUCAUAACCUAUCCGAACUUGAAGUGUUGCAGGUGACGACAUGCCCUCCUUUGUCACUGGUUCACCUCGAAAAGCUAUCAUCCCUAAGGAGCCUCCGGAUAUAUGAUAUGGGUGAUGCCUUUUGUUCGGCUGAAGGUGGUGGUCAUGCCGGAUAUCAAUUUCCAGUUAAAGAUGUCACGAUUGGGCGAUAUGGUGGUAGUGGGCAGCGACUGACACGACUGUUCUCUUACUUCCCAAACCUCCUCUGGUUCAGGAUGUUCAGGUGUGAGAAGUUAACAGGGUUAGGUGUUGUGGGCCUGCAUAAGAGGACGGAAGCACUGCCAAGACCGCCGUCAAUUUCAGUUAACCAAGUGGAGGAGGCACAAGAGCAGCAGGGCGCAAGAGCAGAGGAGGAAAUAGCAGCAGCAGCAACAUCAGAAGGGGUACUAUUGCUGUCUCACCAAUUACAACGUUUGGAUAUCUCGUACUGCCAAAAUUUGGUCCUCUGCCCAGGUUUACUCGACCACGACGAAGACGAAGGACGAACCGGAGGUGGAGGCCUCCAAGGUCUGAGCUCCCUCACUUCAUUAACUAUACGGAAAUGCCCCAGGUUCCUCUCCUCCUAUUCGUCGUCCUCCUCUUCUUCUUGUUUCCCUUUCCCAACCUCCCUGGAAUUCCUCUCUCUUCGCGGCGUGGAGGGCAUGGAAACGCUGCUCCCUCUCUCGAACCUCACCUCUCUCACAGAGUUAGACAUACGGGAAUGUGGGGAUCUUAAAGGCGAGGGACUGCAGUCUCUCCUCGUUCAAGGCCGUCUCACCAGAUUAACUGUCCACGAAACCCCCAAAUUCUUCGCUGGUUCCGAGCCCUCACUGCCUCGUGAACCAGAGCUUCCAUCCUCUUCAUCCAAACUGCAGACGCUUGACACGGAUGACGUCGCGGGUGUCCUUGCUGCGCCCAUCUGUGCCUUCCUCUCUUCCUCGCUCACCAAAUUGGACUUUCGGUGGGUCAAAGAGGUGGAGCGCUUCACAAAGGAGCAAGAGGAGGCCCUUCAGCUCCUCACCUCCCUCGAGAGCAUCGAAUUUUGGUUUUCCAACAAGCUGCAGUGCCUCCCUGCAGGGCUGCAUAGACUUCCGAACCUCAAGAGAUUGGUGAUAAUCGAUUGUCAAGCCAUCGGCUCGCUGCAGGAUGGCCUGCCAGGUUCCCUGCUAGAGUUGGUGAUAUGCGAUUGUCAAGGCAUCCGGUCGAUACACAAGGAGUGCCUCCCGAAUUCACUGCAAAAACUAGUGAUCUCGAACUGCCCAGGCAUCCGGUUUCUUCCAAAGGUGGAAUACCUUCCAAGUUCGCUGCGAGAAUUGGUUGUCGAUGAUAGGAACAGCGAGGAACUAAGAAGGCAUUGCCGCAAGUUGAUAGGAACCAUUCCAAUAGUCAGAGCCUGAUUUACCCAAGGUAACAAAGAGGUGGAACUUCCUAGUCACCAAUUUCCCUUGCUUUUCCUAACCCUAUGGACAUCAGUUAUUCUCCUUUUGUUUAUUUGACAACAGUUAUGGUUUAUUUGACUACUUGUGUUUCACCUACUGUGCAGGGCUAUUGUUUGAAUUGGGAUUUCACUGUAUCCAUACAUGAUUCUCAGUUGUCAAGCGUGAACAUCGCAGGAUAUAUCUAACACCCUGUACAUAAACUGGUUAGUAUCCUGUAUGCAAAAUCAUCCGAGAGCCCCACAAAAUAUCUACAAAUUUGAUCCAUAUUUUUUCCGUUAAUCCUCCGCCUAUUGUUUUUGCUAAUUAUUUGGAUGUCUUUUUCUUAUAAUUAUUGAGGAAUUUAAACUUUUCGUAUUAGAGUUGAUAAAAAACUAUUGAUAGACAAUUUUGUCACUCACCGAACCCUGAUGUGUGAGUUUAUCAGUUUAAGAACGGCUUGUUGCUCCAACAACUUUCAAGUUGUCUUGGUGUACUGCUACAGAAAUAGGCUGCAUCCACAACAUAUUAACUCUGAAUUUAUUUGUUGGUUUUGCCAGCUCACCAGAAUAGUACUUCUCAGAUUGUAGGACCAACAUAUUAACUCUGAAUUUAUUUAUUAGUUUUGCCAGUUUACCAGUAUAGUACUUCUCAGAUUGUAGGGACUACUUGCCUUUGUUUUCUGAUGUAUUGCUGCACAAAAUAUUGCAUCCUUAGCUUUUCUGAUAUCCUAAUUUCUUUGCUUAAUGCUGGACUAAUUUGCUGUACCAACAUGGUAUCAGCGAUGUCUCAUUUUCUGUAUUCCAAGUUAGCAUACUUAUUGGAGUUUGAUGGACUUAUGUCCAUAUGUAUUCUCAGUAUCUGCAAAAGUCUCCAUUGGAACAUAUGUAAGCAAAAGAAGUUGCAGAAGCUAACCUAGAAAGAAAAAUAUAAAACUUCUUUUUGUACUGCCACAUAGAGUUCCAAAAAAAAGUCUCCAUUGGAACUUAUUUUGCUAAUUAUUUGGAUGUCUUUCUCUUAUAAUUAUUGAGUAGUUUAAACUUUUUGUAUUAUAGUUGAUAAAAAACUAUUGAUGGGGAGUUUUCUCACUCACAGAACACUGAUGUGUGAGUUUAGCAGUUUUAGACCAGCUUGCUGCUCCAACAACUUUAAAGUUGUCUUGGUGUGCUGCAACAGAAAUAGGCUGCAUACACAACAUAUUAACUCUGAAUUUAUCUAUUGAUUUUGCCAGUUUUCCAGAAUAGUACUUCUCGGAAUGUAUAGGACCUUUUUUGACUAAUUUUUUUCUUUGUUUUCUGAGGUAUUGCUGCAGAAAACCUGUUUUAUGCUUAGUUCCACUUUUUGAUAAUUCAAUUGGAAUUUCUUUCACAAGUUUUUCUUUUCUAUCUUCAAUGCAGUGAACCUUGAUGGAAAAAUAUUUACGAAGGUUUUAUAAGAUAUUCAUUCUCAAACACCUAAGGUAGCAUUACAGAUAGUUAGAUCUUCAUAGUUUUUUCUUAAUUACCAUGAAUUAUGUUUUAAGUAUUAACCUUUCCAUGUCACAGGAGAGCAAUUUAUUUUUCGGAUAAGCGAUGAAAUUUAUGCUACUCAACUGCGCAAGUGUAAACCUGCCUAACUGUUACUACUGACAACAGUAAGAGCCUACUCAAUCUUAGAAUUCAGUUACAAAUAUCAUAGUCAGCUAAUGUGAAAACUCUCAUAGUGUUCCUCUAGUUUUCUAGAUCAAACUUGGCAUGCAAGCUGUGUUGGCACAAAGAUUUGGUUGAUUCAAGGAAAUUUCUGGCACUUCAGUGAUCAACAUAAAACUACUACUCUAGCUGGAGCAACUUCAGAUGUUCCUAGUGGUUCUAUGAUUGGCAGGUCCGGCCAGUGCCAUCUUAAGCAGCUGUGAACAAAGUGUUCCUUCACAUUGCACUCGUCUAGAUCAACAGAGUAUCUAAGGGUGGGCGCUCAGUCUGACCGAACUGAACCGAUCGGUUCUUCAGGUUUUAGCAGAUUUCGGUUACCUAAAACUAGGAACCGAUUGGUUCCAAAAGUUUCCAAGACUGAGUAGCUUCGUGCAUUCUAUGCCGCUCACACUUGCUUGCUUGUAUACGAGGUGAUUGUUACACUUUCCCUGAGGUCCUUUUGUGAUGCCAGUAGACAUUGUAAAUGCCGUUCUUCUCUUGGAGAAAUAUUGAUCAAGCUUUUUUCCUCGGUGACCUUGCUUGCAGGAAUUAUGUCUCAUUGGAAGGUGACAUUGAGGUCGGGCACUGUACAUCCCAGCAUGCCCUGCUGCCCACCUACUGCAUCCUGACGACGGUCCGUGUGCGGGAUGGCUCGAGCACUGCAUUCUGGGAAGAUUCAUGGCUUCCGGUGGGGCCGCUCUGCGACGUUCUCCCGGCGCUCUACAGCCAUGUGGUCACUUCGGGCGCCACGGUGCGCGAUGUUCUACAAGGGGGCGUCGACCGCUUCCUACGAAACAGGGCCAAUAGAGUGGCUGCGGCGGAGAAGGUGAAACUGUAGUUGGUCGUUGGGCCUAAACCAAACAGAAGGUACGAAGAAGGAGUAUUGAGAGACAAAGAUAUCUCAAGCAAAGGUAACUGUGGCUGUCCUAUCAAUGAAUAGUAUCCGUUCUAGGGAUGGUUCACCUCGCUUUAUAGGGCCAUAAAAUUACAUUUCCGCAUAUCCGUUAUACUCAUGCUCAACAACUACCUCCUAGACAUAUCCCGUACAAGACAGUAACUUGGCCCCUACUCAAGAUGUCGCUUUCAAAGUGAGAUUACAUUUCUAACCCUUUCUAGGAUCUUUAUUACAAAAGUGACCCCUAAUAAUGUGGUUCCAGGACUGUCCUGAUUCCUUCCUUCCCUACUCAUUAGCUUCGUCGGUACUAAGAACGCCUCCGCAUGCUCUCCACCUUCAUUGGUCGAAAUCAGCUAACCUCGGGCUUUGGUCAUGGGGCCUCCCCGAGAUCAAGUCGUCGGGAGUUCCGUGGGGGCUUCAACUUCAGGAAUCUUCACCUGCAAAGUCACAGAACGGGCAUCUUCGGACCAGUUAACUUUGGUUAAUUGUUAGCUUCGUGGAAGAGUAUAGUGACGAAGUCAGCGCUGGUGUCGAGGAGAGGUCCGCGCCAGCUUUGUUCAAGAUGCGAUGUGGAGCGGUCCCCAACAUUGGUGCUGCCCGCUGCAAGGAACCCACGGCGAGCCACUCUGAUGGCGGCCACGGACCUCUCUCCGUGCCACUUCGCCUCCUACGUCUGGAAGAAUCGUGCUCCGCCACGAGUGAAGUGCUUCAUCUGGCUCUUGGUCCAGGAACGAAUACCAUUACCAUGCAGGGGCAAUUUGGCCGAGAAGCACAUGGUGCCGAACGCCAGGUGCGACCUCUGGCGUGAUGAUACAAAGCUCUGGGCGGUGCGGAUUCCUGGUGCUCGCUCUUUUCUCCCAUGCAGAACGCCGAUGUAAUAUCUUUCAUCCCUCCUGUAUCCCCAAACUGCUGUAAACUGAACUGAUAUAGCCCUGUUUCGGACCUGAGAUCC